UGAUUGGAGAUACCAGAUGGC
rnacentral:siRNA from 1 species